GGCAUUAUGGCUCAGUCAUAUAGCACAUACCUAGCACAUGUGAGGCCCUGGGUUCGAUCCCCAGUACCA
rnacentral:tRNA from 1 species